rnacentral:rRNA from 1 species
ACAAUGCGGGACUAUACGUCUUGCAAUUGGAUUGAGAACAAUGUACAACUCUUAUCGAUAAGCCAUUGGAGGGCAAGUCUGGUGCCAGCAGCCGCGGUAAUUCCAGCUCCAAUAGCGUAUAUUAACGUUGUUGCAGUUAAAAAGCUCGUAGUUGAAGUGUGGGUGAUCGCUGUUGUGAGACUUCGGUCUCUCGACAGUAAGUCACCCCCUUCCAGUAUCCAGUAGUGGGUAUUCACUUACUUACUAUUGUGUGUUGGUCGUUUACUGUGAGAAAAUUAGAGUGUUCAAAGCAGGCGUUUGCUUGAAUAGAUUAGCAUGGAAUAAUAAUUGAAGGCUUUCGUGUUCGAUUUGAUUGGUUUGUUCAUGGAAGCAAGGUUAAAAGGAACAGUUGGGGGUAUUCAUAUUCACUAGUUAGAGGUGAAAUUCUCGGAUUUAUGGAAGAUGAAC